CCAGGUCUAGAUGCUGCCUUUGUUGGCCCUAAUGAGAAUCACUAUGCAAUUCUAGAUGAGGAUAAGACUGGGUUGUCCUUGUAUAUUUUGCCUGAGCUGCUCUACAAGUGUCAAAAGAAAAGAAUGGCGCCAUUGAUCAAAACCAGCCUACUGACACUGAUGUUGGUACCUGUCCUUGUAUAUUUUGCCUGGAGGUGCUCUACAAGUUGCAAAAGAAAAGAAUGGUGCCAUUGAUCAAAACCAGUCUACUGACACUGAUGUUGGAACUACUAAGGGUCCAAUGCAGUUUAUGUUCGAAACUGAAGUUCAUCGCAUCUUC
rnacentral:lncRNA from 1 species